AGCGCCGCCCGCCCUGCAGCCACUGGACCACCAGGGAGAGAGAUCCCCCCCCAGCACUCCCAAAGGUUAGGUUGGGGGGGGAUUUAAAUUAAAAAAAAUGUUAAUGUGUGUGUGUGUUUGUGUCUGACUGUGUGUGUGUGUGUUUGUGUUUGUGUCUGUGUUUGUGUCUGACUGUGUGUGUGUGUUUGUGUCUGACUGUGUGUGUGUAUGUGUUUGUGUCUGACCGUGUGUGUGUGUGUGUGUGUUUGUGUCUGACUGUGUAUGU